CGUCCGAGUUGUAAUUUGAAGAAGGCGACUUUGUAGCUGGUCCUUGUCUAUGUUCCUUGGAACAGGACGUCAUAGAGGGUGAGAAUCCCGUGUGGCGAGGAUCCCAGUUAUUUGUAAAGUGCUUUCGACGAGUCGAGUUGUUUGGGAAUGCAGCUCUAAGUGGGUGGUAAAUUCCAUCUAAAGCUAAAUAUUGGCGAGAGACCGAUAGCGAACAAGUACAGUGAUGGAAAGAUGAAAAGAACUUUGAAAAGAGAGUGAAAAAGUACGUGAAAUUGUUGAAAGGGAAGGGCAUUUGAUCAGACAUGGCGUUUGCUUCGGCUUUCGCUGGGCCAGCAUCAGUUUUAGCGGUUGGAUAAAUCCUCGGGAAUGUGGCUCUGCUUCGGUAGAGUGUUAUAGCCCGUGGGAAUACAGCCAGCUGGGACUGAGGAUUGCGACUU
rnacentral:rRNA from 1 species